CUGCGCUUAUUAACCUAGGAUAUGGCUUUCCUAGCGCUAGCUUAAGUAACUUUAUGCUCAAACGUGGACUAAGCCGCCGUUCCCGAGCUACGUGCCAAUUCCAAUUUCUUCUCCGUGGUUUUGUUUAGCAGGGAGGCAGACAAAGGCGGCAGCCGUGGGGCGCAGCGUGCGUGGCGCCCAGGCGAAGGGUGACGUUUCGGGUGCCAUGUUCGCCGCGGCGCGCGGCCGGCGGCCUCGGCGAGCCGCGUGGGGCCAGGGCCCGCAGCCGCGAGGAGGGACGGCAGCGCAGCAGCCAUUUUGCUUUGAUAAUCCCUGGUAACGAGACUGGUCUGUGGCUUGUGAAAUGCAGGCAGCUCUCGGCGCCCCGGCUUCCCUUUUCCUCGUGCUAACCGCUACGGAAACAGGUUCAACAUUACUAUUAAUGCUUAUGAAGUGCUAACAAACAUCCGCUUAAACAAAGAAGAAAGUAGUGUAAAGAGGGUUCACAGCUCGAAGCUGACCACUGCAAAGGCCACUUGUCACAUUUACUGAAAAUCAGCCUAUUGAUAUCACAGCUGAAAAUAUAAACUCGACAACCAAAGCCCAUUGCACAACGUGGACUGCGUAAGAGUUAAAAAUAGAUUCGACGUGCCUCCUACCUGCAUAAUAAAUAUUCCAUUAAAAUCCUGAGCAGUAUUGACAAACCACACAAGCACAGGGUCUGACUGCAUGAUCAGCUGUCUGUGUCUACGCUACACCCUGUUAACCACAAGCAGUGUUAGAGCUAAAUAUAUCUGCAAUGCAGAAAUGGUAGGUGCUAUGUGGUAUACAAUUCUAAUUAAUUAUAAAAUAUUUUUAUAUCCUAGAUAUAAUAAAUAAAAGAAAAUUUGGUGCUGAUCUUUUUAAGGCACCGAAUCCGUCUGACUUACAGAACAUAAAAGCUAACCCUAAGUAUACUGACCUACAUAGCACUAAGAAGACUUAAGCAGCAAACAAGCAUACUCACUGUCAAAGCAAGGAAAAAACGAAACAAUGAUUGCCUAAUCAAACUGAAAGCAACAGCUCACUACCACAGUAUGAGUUCCAAAAUGCUACGUACUGUAUAUGCACAUCUCAUGUUAGUGCGAGAUGCAAAGCUCCUUUGUUUUUUCUCAGAGGCUUUUCUUAGCUACGGUUGCACAAUGACAUUCUGACAUCAUGGAGGUCAAUGCAGCUACUAAAGUGCUGUCGUCUUUUUGAAUAAAAAAUCAUUUUGGAAUAUUAAAGCACAGCUGCAAAAAAAAAAAAAUAAUGAAUGUCACAUCACCUGCUUAACAUCUUUCCUUUACCUUCUGGGAUUAAUAGUAUGUACACUGUUCAGCUGCAUACAUUAAAUUGGUAUCACCCUCUGCAGAGAUUGCAGGAGCGUAACUGCGGGAAUUAGAUUUUUAUAAGUAAGUAGAUAGAAAUGUUAAAAAAAAUGAUUCAUUAUCCAGAAAACUUAAAAAUACAAUAAAACAUUCAACAUGUAUAAUGAAAAAUAUAAGGAGAAAAAAAGCAUUAAAAACUGCUUAUCUGAAUAUUUUUAAUGCCUAAUAAGCAAAACUGUUUUUAUUUUCAGUAUCAUUAUGUCUCCAAAGGGAGAAUGAGAGCACUGAAGCACAACUUACUAUGACCUGAAUUACAUCCCCAAAAGGCUAAACGAUCAGGUGAAGUAAAAUAAACCCAAAGGUCUAUCUGUUUAUAGAGAAUCCUUCCCACAGAUACACCUUCAAUGACAUCUUAUGCCUUCCUUUUAUCUUUCUACCCCAAUACCCACGACAGAUAUUCAACACAUAACCAGAAUGGUAAACAUUAACGUGCCAGCUCUGAAACUAUUUAACUGAAAAAUUUCCUUAAGCAAAUAUUGUUUGCCUUAUGCAUAAGCAAAUAUAAAUGUUUUCUGACCAGAUAUUGAAAUAGAUAUAGAUGCUUGUGAGGCAAGAUUUUUAUGGAGAAUACUAUGUUUCAUCAGACCUGCCAAUACAGCUGGAAAGAAAACAGCCAAAAUUUCAGACAUGCAUUCUUUCUCAGGAACCUGUG